AGCAGUGGAUUUCUCCUUGCAACCCUGCCAUGCAAACCGUUGUUGUUCAGUGUUCUCCUGAUGGUGGAAUCACAAACAAGUUGUUUGGAAGUUACCCUGGGUUCCUUUAAGACUUCGCCUACUAUUACACACCUUGCUCUUGGAGUCAUUUUUGUAGGACGAUCAUUCCUGGGGAGGGUGCUUCCUGAGAGCUGACUCUUAGUAUGUAGAGGAACUACCCACUAAACUCACCUCAGACUCUGAGGUCAUGGCUGUAUAACCCAGGCUUUUCAUCAGGCUAAUUAAAGUCCUCAACCCUAAGGAAGACUGCACACUGAGAGAGAGGCAGAGAGGAAUUUAAGAGGCCACUUACAGAGACUCUCCUGUUCAAAACACAAAGUCCUUUUCAAAGACGAGGAGCUUCUGCCAUUUUUAUCCAUGCUUCCCUCAUUCAAUGGGCCGUUCUAUCUUAAUGGAUCGUCAAAUACGGGAGAAAAUGAUGACAAAACGAGUUUUAAUGGGUUUUUUACUGUUCCACUCAUUUCAAAACUUUUAUAUGAAUGAAAUGACUAACUUC